AAGAGACACAUCGAUAAAUCUUCGCACAAUGCGUUCGAUUGAAUUAUAUCGAAUUACACUCGUCUAAAUAUACUACCGCGAUCAUAUUCCGUGUACACUCGCUGCCGGUCGACACUCAAAUCCAAAUGCAAGGGUGGCCCAUGUGAUAAUAUAACGCGCACCGCGAACGCACGUAGAUCGCGAACGUAAGACAAAGGUUGAUCGGUGUGAAACAUAUUGUACGAGUAACGAAGGAUGUAAGCCUACGCUGAGAUUAUAAUGUCCGAAGUUGAUCGAUGCGUCUACAUAAUGAUUCUAUGUCGAUUAUAUAUAUAUCAUUGUUUGCUCGUCACCGUCCGUCAGCACUUGUAUAAAUCCGUUUCCGGGCUCGUGUGCGUUUGAACGAAUUAUGAUUAUUGUGGGUUGAUUGAUACAACCUGACCGCCAAGUCCGUUCGACUGUGUACGUUACCGAUAUGUAAACACGUGGUUGCCAAGAACAUGUGAUCGGUGAUUCCGACCGAAUCCGACUCCUCCUCCCAUCACCCCGAGAAAGAUGAAAUAAUGGGGUGUAUUUACAUGAGAUAUGAAUGGACUGUACAUGGUCGUCUACCCUCUCCCCCGUACUUGAUAAUCAUACCACAAAAUGUUAUCAGAACGAUGGAAAAUGUUUUUGAAGUCAAUAUUUGCAGGGACAUCAACGACGACGGAUGGACCCCGGAUUCAAUCCAUUCCAAACACCGACCAGUCGAGCAUCGAUUUACAAUAUUAUCACCGCUUCAACAUUCUGCAUGUUAUUGCAAAAUGGAAAACCUCAGAUCUACAAAUUCUAUAUCCAUGCGACCAGAUUCGAACCAUACGAUAUUGUGUACAUGAUCGGUGAUUUAAUGUUGAAUCAUUCUUUUACCAACAUAUUACAUUGACACCGUAGUCAAAUGUCGUACGGAUCGGAUUUUCGCAGAAAAAAGAAGCAAUAAUUCACUCGACAUGUUCGAUUGACAACGUUUCUGUAUAAGACCAAAACGUGAAUAAUAUUAACGGUUGUUAGUAACGUUUACAUUUUCGUUUCGACCGAAAAUGGUUUUCAUUUGUGCAUUAUAACUUGACAGUUUCAAAUCGAGUGAAAAUACUAUCGGUUUCAACACAAUAACAAACCAACAUUAUAUCAAAACGGGGGGGGGGGGGGGAAAAACCUAGUUGAAUAGUAUAACGUUAUCCCUCUGCUUUUUAUACACAAGAUCAACAAAGCGCAUAGAGCUGGUGGAUUUCUUAAUAAAGUUUGGGCUAACUAAAGCGCAUAUUUUAACGCUACACCGCAUAAAAAUAUUGUUCUCUUUAAUUCAUGU